rnacentral:rRNA from 1 species
GACGAACGCUGGCGGCGUGCUUAACACAUGCAAGUCGAACGGAAAGGCCCUGCUUUUGUGGGGUGCUCGAGUGGCGCACGGGUGAGUAACACGUGAGUAACCUGCCCUUGACUUUGGGAUAACUUCAGGAAACUGGGGCUAAUACCGGAUAGGAGCUCCUGCUGCAUGUUGGGGGUUGGAAAGUUUCGGCGGUUGGGGAUGGACUCGCGGCUUAUCAGCUUGUUGGUGGGGUAGUGGCUUACCAAGGCUUUGACGGGUAGCCGGCCUGAGAGGGUGACCGGCCACAUGGGGACUGAGAUACGGCCCAGACUCCUACGGGAGGCAGCAGUGGGGAAUAUGGCACAAUGGGCGGAAGCCUGAUGCAGCAACGCCGCGUGCGGGAUGACGGCCUUCGGGUUGUAAACCGCUUUCGCCUGUGACGAAGCGUGAGUGACGGUAAUGGGUAAAGAAGCACCGGCUAACUACGUG